rnacentral:rRNA from 1 species
GACGAACGCUGGCGGCGCGCUUAACACAUGCAAGUCGAGCGAGAACCAGGCCUUCGGGCCUGGGGAAAGCGGCGAACGGGUGAGUAACACGUGGGUAACCCACCCUUGGUACCGGGAUAGCCCGAGGAAACUCGGAUUAAUACCGGAUGGCCCAACAGUCUUUCGGGGCGGUUGGAAAAGGUAGCUUCGGCCUCCGACCAAGGACGGGCCCGCGGCGGAUUAGCUUGUUGGUGGGGUAAUGGCCUACCAAGGCGACGAUCCGUAGCGGUCUGAGAGGACGAUCAGCCACACUGGGACUGAGACACGGCCCAGACUCCUACGGGAGGCAGCAGUGGGGAAUCUUGCGCAAUGGGCGAAAGCCUGACGCAGCGACGCCGCGUGGGGGAAGAAGGCUUUCGGUUGUAAA